rnacentral:lncRNA from 1 species
AGACCCGUUGAGAAUCACUGCUACAGAGGAAGAAUGAGGACAAUAGACCAAUGGAUACAGGAUGGUGCCUGUGAAGUACAUCUACAGAGAAAUCCUCUCUAGCAAGGCUCAUCCAGGACACCUACCUGCAUUUUUCCAUCAAGGUUGAAACAAACACUGCUUGUUCGCAAAGGAGUAGACAUUUACUCCAAAAAUAUAUUUGCCUUCCUUGCCUGAAAUGCUUCUGCCAAACCCACCAUCUGUGAACUUGAGGAAUGCCUUACUCAUGAUCAUGUUAUUACAUACUCCUGACCAAGGAAUUCAUUUUACCAAACAUAAAGUGCAGAGAUACUCAUGAAAUGUAUUGCUCUUAUCAUGAUCUUCAUCACUCUAAAGCAACUGGCCUGAAACAAAGGUGAAAUGAGCUUUUGAAGCGUCAACUGAGUGACUAAAUUUUGUGAAGCUAGGAUAACAUUCUCCACAAUGUGGCAUAUGGCCUCCAUCAGCAACCAAUCUAUGACCCUGUUUCUCUCAUAGUCGAGAUUCAUAAAUCCAGAAAACAAAGGAUAAACAGGAGUGACUCUUCUUACUGUUACUCCUAAAGAUAUAGUUACAUGCUAUUACUGCCCAUUCUCAACACCUUUGGACUCUGCUGGCCUAGAAGUCUUAGUUUUCAAGGGAUAAAUGUUUCUACAAAGGUCUAUAGCAAUAGUUUCAUUAAACCCAAAGCCAAGACUCUUAGCUGGCGUCUUUGGGCUCCUCAUAUUCAACAGACAAAAAGAGCACUGGUGUUUGGCCUGAGGUGAUGGAUUCUGAUUAUCUAGAAUAAAUCGGGCUGCUAACACACAAUGGGAAUAAAGAAAAGUAUGUCCGGAAAGCAGGUGGUCCUCUGGGUUACCUCUUAAUAUUCCCAUUCCCAGUGAGUAAAGCCACUGGAAAAUGAAAACAAUCUAAUACAUGGGGGACUCUCAUGGCUUAGACCUGUGGCCCCCAACCUUUUUGGCACCAGGGACCAGAUUUGUGGAAGAUACUGUUUCAGUGGACUUAUGGGGUGGGAGAUGGUUUUGGGAUGAAACUGUUCCACCUCAUAUCAUCAGGCAUUAGAGUGUCACAAGGAGUAUGCAACCUGGAUCCCUCACAUGUGCAGUUCACAAUAGGGUUUGCAAUCCUAUGAGAAUCUAAUGCCGCCACCGAUCUGACAGGAGGCAAAGCUCAAGCGGUAGUGCUUGCCUGCCACUCACCUCGUGCUGUGUGUCCCAGUUCCUAACAGGCCAUGGACCAGGGGUUGAGGACCCCGGCCUACACCAAAUUAUAACAAGCUUAAGACAAAGAGUAGUAGAAAAAGGUAAUUAUAAAUACUAUGCAUGACCAUAUGACCAGUGGCAGAAAUGAGCACUGUAAUACUUAUGAAUGUUUUCCUUAUUUUAAUAUGCAAAUACUUGUGUGUAUAUUAAUUUUUUUUU